AGCCUGAUGCAGCGACGCCGCGUGAGGGAUGACGGCCUUCGGGUUGUAAACCUCUUUCAGCAGGGAAGAAGCGCAAGUGACGGUACCUGCAGAAGAAGCGCCGGCUAACUACGUGCCAGCAGCCGCGGUAAUACGUAGGGCGCAAGCGUUGUCCGGAAUUAUUGGGCGUAAAGAGCUCGUAGGCGGUCUGUCGCGUCUGGUGUGAAAACCCGAGGCUCAACCUCGGGCUUGCAUCGGGUACGGGCGGACUAGAGUGCUGUAGGGGAGACUGGAAUUCCUGGUGUAGCGGUGGAAUGCGCAGAUAUCAGGAGGAACACCGAUGGCGAAGGCAGGUCUCUGGGCAGUUACUGACGCUGAGGAGCGAAAGCAUGGGGAGCGAACAGGAUUAGAUACCCUGGUAGUCCAUGCCGUAAACGUUGGGCACUAGGUGUGGGGACCAUUCCACGGUUUCCGUGCCGCAGCUAACGCAUUAAGUGCCCCGCCUGGGGAGUACGGCCGCAAGGCUAAAACUCAAAUGAUUUGACGGGG
rnacentral:rRNA from 1 species